rnacentral:rRNA from 1 species
AUGGUUGUCGUCAGCUCGUGCCGUGAGGUGUCCGGUUAAGUCCCAUAACGAGCCGCAACCCCUACCUUUAGUUGCCAUCGAGGUAAUGCGUGGGGACUCUAAAGGAACUGCCUACGCAAGUAGUGAGGAAGGCGGGGAGUGACGUCAAAUCAGCACGGCCCUUACGUCCAGGGCUACACACGUGCUACAAUGGCCGAUACAGAGGGCAGCUACCUGGUGACAGGAUGCAAAUCUCCAAAGUCGGUCUCAGUUCGGAUCGGAGUCUGCAACCCGACUCCGUGAAGUUGGAUUCGCUAGUAAUCGCGCAUCAGCCAUGGCGCGGUGAAUACGUUCCCGGGCCUU